GGGACAAGAAGACCCUAUGAAUUUUUAAAAAUUUUAUUUUAAUUUAUAAAAAGAGAAUUUAAAAUUAAAAUUUUUUAAUUGGGGCGAUAUAAAAAUAAUAGGUAACUUUAAUAAGAUCCUUAUUUUAAGAUAAAUUGAAAAAAAUACUCUAGGGAUAACAGCGUAAUUAUUUUGGAGAGUUCUUAUUGAUAAAAUAGUUUACGACCUCGAUGUUG
rnacentral:rRNA from 9 species